AUCGAAAUCCCCCGAGGUUUCUCGGGGGGAGGCUUUGUUCCGUAGGUGAACCUGCGGAAGGAUCAUUAACAGAGAAGAGGGUCCCUCGGGGCCCAAACUCACCCACCCUUUGUGAACUUACCUUUGUUGCUUUGGCGAGCCGUGGGGCCUUCGGACCCCCCGUCGACUCCGGUGGACGUGUGCCCGUCAGAGACCCUCUUAAUUCUGAUAAUUAGNGAAGUCCGAGUUAAAAUAUAAUCGUUAAAACUUUCAACAACGGAUCUCUUGGUUCUGGCAUCGAUGAAGAACGCAGCGAAAUGCGAUAAGUAAUGUGAAUUGCAGAAUUCAGUGAAUCAUCGAAUCUUUGAACGCACAUUGCGCCCUCUGGUAUUCCGGGGGGCAUGCCUGUUCGAGCGUCAUUACACCUCUCAAGCCCAGCUUGGUAUUGGGCGUCGUCCCCUGGGGCGCGCCCGAAAGUUAGCGGCGACGCGGUCGGUCUUCAAGCGUAGUAAAACUUCUGUUUCGCUUUCGGAGCCCGGGCGUGCCCGCCGGAUAACCCCCAAUUUUUCAAUGGUUGACCUCGGAUCAGGUAGGGAUACCCGCUGAACUUAAGCAUAUCAAUAAGCGGAGGAAAAGAAA
rnacentral:rRNA from 1 species